AUUGAACGCUGGCGGCAGGCCUAACACAUGCACGUCGAACGAGUGGCGGACGGGUGAGUAAUGUAUGGGAACAUGCCCGCUGGAGGGGGAUAACUACUGGGAACGGUAGCUAAUACCGCAUACCAACGGAUGUGCACAGAUGGGAUUAGCUAGUAGGUGGGGUAACGGAUUACUUAGGCGACGAUCCCUAGCUGGUCUGAGAGGAUUACCAUCCACACUAGUACGUAGACCCGGUCACUACUACUACGGUAGGCAGCCGUGGGGUGUAUGGCAUUAUGGGCGCAAGCCUGAUGCAGCCAGGCCGCGUGUAGGAAGAAGUCCUUCGGGUUGUAAAGUACUUGCAGCGAUUAGGCGUUACUCGCAGAAGAAGCUCCGGCUAACUCCGUGCCAGCUGCCGAGGUAAUUC
rnacentral:rRNA from 1 species